CCCGCACAAGCGGUGGAGCAUGUGGUUUAAUCGACGCUACGCGAAGACCUUACCUGGGCUUGAACUGCUGGUGGUAGAAGCCCGAAAGGGUAACGACCCGGAGCAAUCCGGGAGCCAGUAGAGGUGCUGCAUGGCUGUCGUCAGCUCGUGUCGUGAGAUGUUGGGUUAAGUCCCGCAACGAGCGCAACCCUCGCCUCUAGUUGCCAGCAUUCGGUUGGGCACUCUAGAGGGACUGCCGGCGACAAGUCGGAGGAAGGUGGGGAUGACGUCAAAUCAUCAUGCCCCUUAUGACCUGGGCUACACACGUGCUACAAUGGGCGGUACAAAGGGUCGCGAACCCGCGAGGGGGAGCCAAUCCCAAAAAGCCGCUCUCAGUUCGGAUUGCAGGCUGCAACUCGCCUGCAUGAAGCCGGAAUCGCUAGUAAUCGCGGAUCAGCAUGCCCGCGGUCGAAUACGUUCCGGGCCUU
rnacentral:rRNA from 1 species